rnacentral:rRNA from 1 species
AUUGAACGCUGGCGGCAGGCUUAACACAUGCAAGUCGAGCGAGCGGCGGACGGGUGAGUAAUGUCUGGGAAACUGCCUGAUGGAGGGGGAUAACUACUGGAAACGGUAGCUAAUACCGCAUACCAUCAGAUGUGCCCAGAUGGGAUUAGCUAGUAGGUGGGGUAAUGGCUCACCUAGGCGACGAUCCCUAGCUGGUCUGAGAGGAUGACCAGGCAAACUGGGAAUGAAACACGGGCCCGAAUCCUACGGGAGGCAGCAGGGGGGAAUAUUGCACAAUGGGGGCAAGGCUGAUGGAGGCAAGGCGCGGGUGUGAAGAAGGCCUUUGGGUUUGAAAGCACUUUCAGCGGGGAGGCGGUACUCGCAGAAGAAGCACCGGCUAACUCCGUGCCAGCAGCCGCGGUAAUAC